GAUGAACGCUAGCUACAGGCUUAACACAUGCAAGUCGAGGGGCAGCAUGGUCUUAGCUUGCUAAGGCCGAUGGCGACCGGCGCACGGGUGAGUAACACGUAUCCAACCUGCCGUCUACUCUUGGACAGCCUUCUGAAAGGAAGAUUAAUACAAGAUGGCAUCAUGAGUCCGCAUGUUCACAUGAUUAAAGGUAUUCCGGUAGACGAUGGGGAUGCGUUCCAUUAGAUAGUAGGCGGGGUAACGGCCCACCUAGUCUUCGAUGGAUAGGGGUUCUGAGAGGAAGGUCCCCCACAUUGGAACUGAGACACGGUCCAAACUCCUACGGGAGGCAGCAGUGAGGAAGAUUGGUCAAUGGGCGAGAGCCUGAACCAGCCAAGUAGCGUGAAGGAUGACUGCCCUAUGGGUUGUAAACUUCUUUUAUAAAGGAAUAAAGUCGGGUAUGGAUACCCGUUUGCAUGUACUUUAUGAAUAAGGAUCGGCUAACUCCGUG
rnacentral:rRNA from 1 species